CCAAGAUUAAACUCAAAGGAUUGGCGGGACCGCACAAGCGGUGGAUGAUGUGGAUUAAUUGGAUGCAACGCGAAAACCUUACCUACCCUUGACAUGUCUGGAAUCCCGAAGAGAUUUGGGAGUGCUCGCAAGAGAACCGGAACACAGGUGCUGCAUGGCUGUCGUCAGCUCGUGUCGUGAGAUGUUGGGUUAAGUCCCGCAACGAGCGCAACCCUUGUCAUUAGUUGCUACGAAAGGGCACUCUAAUGAGACUGCCGGUGACAAACCGGAGGAAGGUGGGGAUGACGUCAAGUCCUCAUGGCCCUUAUGGGUAGGGCUUCACACGUCAUACAAUGGUCGGGACAGAGGGUCGCCAACCCGCGAGGGGGAGCCAAUCCCAGAAACCCGAUCGUAGUCCGGAUCGCAGUCUGCAACUCGACUGCGUGAAGUCGGAAUCGCUAGUAAUCGCGGAUCAGCAUGUCGCGGUGAAUACGUUCCCGGGUCUUGUACACACCGCCCGUCACACCAUGGGAGUGGGUUUUUCCAGAAGUAGUUAGCCUAACCACAAUUUGGUCCAGGAUCACACCUAUGAC
rnacentral:rRNA from 1 species